AUGCUCUUCCCCUCCCUCCUCACCCAGGUCACAGGCUCACCUGGGCCCAGACUGAACUCACCUGAGUGUGUUUUUGCUCUUUUGGCGUCCUGGGCCCAGUCUGCUCUGGCUCACCUUUCCUCAGUGUCUGGGGCUCUGGGCCAGUCAGCUCCAUCUCCUGUGCCGGGACAGCAGGGACAUGGGGCAUUAUAACUAUGUCUCCCCGCAAGGCAACCAGGCUCCUGAUUUAUAGUGUCAGUUCCCGGCCCCCAGGGGUCCCCGAUCGCAUCUCUGGAUCCAAGUCAGACAGCUUUGCCACCUUGACCAUCUCCGGUCUCAAGCCCGAGGAUGAGGCUGAGUAUUACUGUUGUUCACUUAAAACUGGUGGUGCUUACCACAGUGGUGCCAGUUUGUGGGGAAGUGGACAUGAAGACCAGGUCCUGAGCCUCGCAGGAACCGUCAGAAAUUAA